AACUCGGGCUAAUACCGGAUGUGGAUGCUUUGGCUUCGGCUGAGGCGUCUAAAUGGGUUUCCGCUUCGGGAUGGGCCCGCGGCCUAUCAGGUAGUUGGUGAGGUAAUGGCUCACCAAGCCUGCGACGGGUAGCCGGUCUGAGAGGAUGAUCGGCCCGAGGGGCACUGAGACACGGGCCCCACUCCUACGGGAGGCAGCAGUCGGGAAUUUUGGGCAAUGGGCGCAAGCCUGACCCAGCGACGCCGCGUGGAGGACGAAGCCCUUCGGGGUGUAAACUCCUUUAAGCAGGGACGAACGCAGACGGUACCUGCAGAAUAAGCCCCGGCUAACUACGUGCCAGCAGCCGCGGUAAUACGUAGGGGGCGAGCGUUGCCCGAAUUUACUGGGCGUAAAGCGCACGUAGGCGGCUCCGUAAGUCUGGUGUGAAAUCUCACGGCUCAACCGGGAGGCUGCACCGGAUACUGCGGAGCUCGAGGACGGGAGAGGAGAUUGGAAUUCCCGGUGUAGCGGUGAAAUGCAUUGAUAUCGGGAGGAACACCAGUGGCGAAGGCGGAUCUCUGGCCCGUUGCUGACGCUGAGGUGCGAAAGCUGGGGGAGCGAAAGGGAUUAGAUACCCCUGUAGUCCCAGCCCUAAACGAUGGGCGCUAGGUGUUGGGGGAUUACCCCUCGGCGCCGCAGCUAACGCAUUAAGCGCCCCGCCUGGGGAGUACGGCCGCAAGGUUGAAACUCAAAUGAAUUGACGGGGGUCC
rnacentral:rRNA from 1 species